GCUGCUGUGAGGCUGCUCUUCCCCGACCGGACGAAGAGCGGCAGUGUCUCCCCGCCCGGCACUCGCCGCGCGUCUCCCCCCCGCGGCCGUCGCUGCUCGCCAGCCCUGCACCGCGCCGGAGAGCGCAGUGGCGGCGGCGGGAAAGGGCUGCGGACCCGCGGCGCCGCGUCGCACACUCGACGACGCGGCCCCGGCCUCGACGCCCUCCGCCCGCUCCUGGAGCAGUAAGAAGACAUUAUGUUGGAUAAUAGGAAGAGCUGUAGAGUUUGCAGGUGUCAACCGUGGCCUUAAUAAGCACACUGAUAGCAUCAAUGCCAGACAGAUGGCACAUGUGGCUGAUGGCUGCCAUAUUGACAUUGCAGUUCUGGAAGAUGGAGAGAUAUAUGACACAAUAAAUUUAAUUAAAAGGUCCUAUUACUGCUGGAUUGUGCAAGAUAUUUAACACUCUUUUCUUUGAGGUAUGACUUAAAUAUAAAACAUCUUAAAUAAGAAAAGGGAAACA
rnacentral:lncRNA from 1 species